rnacentral:lncRNA from 1 species
AUGGUGCUGGCCCUGCAAGGGGUAGGGCUGGGGGCACCCACCUUCCUGACCUCACAGCCCUGCUCCUUCUGUUGCAGACCAAGUGGCUUGAAACCAAGAUCUGUGUGUGCCCAUCUCCUCGAAACAGUCCUUCGGCAUGCCAAGCUCUAUGGCUACAUCCUCACACCCCAGACCUGCCUUGACCUGACCCUGGUUUAUGUGGGGAGCCCUGAGCGUGGCCAAGAGGUAGAGGUGUCCACUGCCUUCCCCCAGGAGGAAGGAGAGAUCCCUGGGAAUCCCAACAAAGGGUCUUCAUUACAGGAGGUAGUAGUGGCUGAGCUGGUCCAGGUAGCUCAAGUUUGGAGCCAAGAUGUGGAGGCAGAGCUCCUGUGUGGUCAUGAUCAACGUGGGACCUGCCUGUCCCCUGCAGAGAUAAGCAUGACCAAGGAGGAUGCCUCUGGGUCCCACCAGACCUCCCCCAGGGGCAAGAAACACCUUGGAAAACCCCAGGGAUCUUGCCAGGGAAAUAAAGGCCUUGGACUGUGCCAGCAUCUCUGUGUUGUCUGUGGAACCUGCCCUAUGUCCCAUAGGAUUCCCUUAGGACUCCCUCUGGGACACCUCUGGGGAACUCCUCUAUCUACUGGGUCCCCAGCAUUCUUUGGGAUGUCACCCCAUGUCACUAGGUUCUCAUAUCCCCUCCCUUGGAGUGCCCCACACCCAUCCCAAAGCAUAUAGACCCCCUUUUUCUCACAAUAUUCAUUAUCUGUGGCCCCAGUGGAUGUGGUUAAUCUGGUGGCAUUGGUCCAAAUACCAAAUACAAUUUAUUUUCAGAAUUGCAAUCUCUUGCAACAGUUGGAAGCAAGAUGGGCUAGUUAGACCUUCAGUAACUGCAUGCUAAGAGAAUGCCACCAC